rnacentral:misc_RNA from 1 species
GAGAACGUAGCGAAAUGCGAUAAGUAAUGUGAAUUGCAGAAUUCAGUGAAUCAUCGAAUCUUUGAACGCACAUUGCGCCCGCCAGUAUUCUGGCGGGCAUGCCUGUUCGAGCGUCAUUUCAACCAUCAAGCCCUGCUUGCGUUGGGGUCCUGCGGCUGCCCGCAGGCCCUGAAAACCAGUGGCGGGCUCGCUAGUCACACCGAGCGCAGUAAUACAUCUCGCUUAGGGCGUGCGGCGGGUUCUUGCCGUUAAACACCCCCUUUUUACCAAGGUUGACCUCGGAUCAGGUAGGAAUACCCGCUGAACUUAAGCAUAUCAAUAAGCGGAGGA